rnacentral:rRNA from 1 species
UACAGAGGUCUCAACCGUUGUUCGGAUUCAUUGGGCGUAAAGGGUGCGUAGGCGGUCGCGCAAGUCGGAUGUGAAAUCUUAGGGCUCAACCCUGAAACUGCAUUCGAUACUGCGUGGCUCGAGUACUGGAGAGGAGACUGGAAUUUACGGUGUAGCAGUGAAAUGCGUAGAUAUCGUAAGGAAGGCCAGUGGCGAAGGCGGGUCUCUGGACAGUUCCUGACACUGAGGCACGAAGGCCAGGGGAGCAAACGGG